rnacentral:snoRNA from 1 species
CUUUAAAAUGAUGAUUUUUCUUUUAUUUAUCACGACGGUCAACAGAACUUUAACAUUGAUGACCACCGCCUUUGACAAGGCUUUUAUCUGAAA